AUGAGUAGCGAGAUGUGGGUGAGAAUCCCACAGGCCGUAAACCCAAGGUUUCCAGGGGAAGGUUCGUCCGCCCUGGGUUAGUCGGGACCUAAGCUGAGGCCGAAAGGCGUAGGUGAUGGACAACAGGUUGAUAUUCCUGUACUACCGAUAACCGUUUGAGAGAAGGGAUGACACAGUAGGAUAAGCUAAGCACACUGUUGGUUAUGUGUGCCCAAGCAUUGAGGCAGUCAAAGUAGGCAAAUCCGCUUUGAUAAUGCUGGGAUGUGAUGGGGAGCGAAAUUUAGUAGCGAAGUAGCUGAUUUCACACUGUCAAGAAAAGUCUCUAUCGAGGUUAAAGGUACCCGUACCGCAAACCGACACAGGUGGGUGAGGAGAGUAUCCUAAGGCCAGCGAGAGAACUGUUGUUAAGGAACUCGGCAAAAUGACCCCGUAACUUAGGGAUAAGGGGUGCCACCAUCAGGUGGCCGCAGAGAAUAGGCCCAAGCGACUGUUUACCAAAAACAUAGGUUUCUGCUAAGUCGCAAGACGAUGUAUAGGAGCUGACGCCUGCCCGGUGCUGGAAGGUUAAGGGGAUCUGUUAGAGCAAUCGAAGCAGUGAACUUAAGCCCCAGUAAACGGCGGCCGUAACUAUAACGGUCCUAAGGUAGCGAAAUUCCUUGUCGGGUAAGUUCCGACCCGCACGAAAGGCGUAACGAUUUGGGCACUGUCUCAACAACAGACUCGGUGAAAUUGUAAUUCCGGUGAAGAUGCCGGAUACCUGCGACAGGACGGAAAGACCCCAUGGAGCUUUACUGUAGCUUGACAUUGGGUCUUGGUACUACAUGUACAGGAUAGGUGGGAGGCUUUGAAACCAGGACGCCAGUUUUGGCGGAGCCAUCCUUGGGAUACCACCCUUGUAGUACUGGGACUCUAACCAUAG
rnacentral:rRNA from 1 species